rnacentral:rRNA from 1 species
CACACUGCCGAGAAAAGCCUCUAGAUAGAAAAUAGGUGCCCGUACCGCAAACCGACACAGGUAGUCAAGAUGAGAAUUCUAAGGUGAGCGAGCGAACUCUCGUUAAGGAACUCGGCAAAAUGACCCCGUAACUUCGGGAGAAGGGGUGCUCUUUAGGGUUAACGCCCAGAAGAGCCGCAGUGAAUAGGCCCAAGCGACUGUUUAUCAAAAACACAGGUCUCUGCUAAACCGUAAGGUGAUGUAUAGGGGCUGACGCCUGCCCGGUGCUGGAAGGUUAAGAGGAGUGGUUAGCUUCUGCGAAGCUACGAAUCGAAGCCCCAGUAAACGGCGGCCGUAACUAUAACGGUCCUAAGGUAGCGAAAUUCCUUGUCGGGUAAGUUCCGACCCGCACGAAAGGCGUAACGAUUUGGGCACUGUCUCAACGAGAGACUCGGUGAAAUCAUAGUACCUGUGAAGAUGCAGGUUACCCGCGACAGGACGGAAAGACCCCGUGGAGCUUUACUGUAGCCUGAUAUUGAAAUUCGGCACAGCUUGUACAGGAUAGGUAGGAGCCUUUGAAACGUGAGCGCUAGCUUACGUGGAGGCGCUGGUGGGAUACUACCCUAGCUGUGUUGGCUUUCUAACCCGCACCACUUAUCGUGGUGGGAGACAGUGUCAGGCGGGCAGUUUGACUGGGGCGGUCGCCUCCUAAAAGGUAACGGAGGCGCUCAAAGGUUCCCUCAGAAUGGUUGGAAAUCAUUCAUAGAGUGUAAAGGCAUAAGGGAGCUUGACUGCGAGACCUACAAGUCGAGCAGGGUCGAAAGACGGACUUAGUGAUCCGGUGGUUCCGCAUGGAAGGGCCAUCGCUCAACGGAUAAAAGCUACCCCGGGGAUAACAGGCUUAUCUCCCCCAAGAGUUCACAUCGACGGGGAGGUUUGGCACCUCGAUGUCGGCUCAUCGCAUCCUGGGGCUGUAGUCGGUCCCAAGGGUUGGGCUGUUCGCCCAUUAAAGCGGUACGCGAGCUGGGUUCAGAACGUCGUGAGACAGUUCGGUCCCUAUCCGUCGUGGGCGUAGGAAAUUUGAGAGGAGCUGUCCUUAGUACGAGAGGACCGGGAUGGACAUACCUCUGGUGUACCAGUUGUCGUGCCAACGGCAUAGCUGGGUAGCUAUGUGUGGACGGGAUAAGUGCUGAAAGCAUCUAAGCAUGAAGCCCCCCUCAAGAUGAGAUUUCCCAACUUCGGUUAUAAGAUCCCUCAAAGAUGAUGAGGUUAAUAGGUUCGAGGUGGAAGCAUGGUGACAUG